rnacentral:lncRNA from 1 species
GGAGGAUCUAUCGGUUCGCGGCUCUGUUUCAGCUUAAACUUAUCGACAUGGUUCCGGUUCGAAUAUGUUGAAACUGAACCACGAUCGAAUUGUAAAUGAUUCUUCAUGGAACCAUAAAAUUCUUCAACAAGUGUUUUCAUUCAUUUAGGAUUUUAAACCGAUGUUGGCUCUACUGCUUUGCUUUACCCCCAAAAAAAAAUUAAAAUUAAAAUUAAAAUUAAAAUUAAAAUAAAAAUAAAAUAAAAUAAAGCAAAAAAGAAAGACCAGACAGAUAAAUAAAUAAACAACUGAGAAAUUUCUGGAGCAAUUACAUGAACAGGACCACAAUACAAAGAAAAUAAACAGGUUUAAUUAAUUAAUAGACUGAAGCAAGUAUGAAACAAAACAACAGAACAGAACAAGAUAAAGAGAAGAAACCAAUGUGAAGAAGACCAAAGAGGGUACCGCAAUGAACUGAAAGUUGAACCUCCGCUUUGGCUUCAAGAGAGGGGAGAAUUAUUUCCAAGGAACAGUAAAGUAGACACAGGACUUACGUUAACAAAGGAAUAGCAUGUUGAAUGGGACAAAAGCAGGAGCAGCCG